AGAGUUUGAUCCUGGCUCAGAACGAACGCUGGCGGCAGGCCUAACACAUGCAAGUCGAACGAACCUUUUAGGUGAGUGGCGCACGGGUGCGUAACGCGUGGGAAUGUACACCUUGGUAAGGAAUAACUGCUGGAAACGGUAGCUAAUACCUUAUAAUGACUCCGGUCCAAAGAUUUAUCGCCAAGGGAUCAGCCCGCGUCAGAUUAGCUUGUUGGUGAGGUAAAGGCUCACCAAGGCGACGAUCUGUAGGGGGUCUGAGAGGAUGAUCCCCCACACUGGUACUGAGACACGGACCAGACUCCUACGGGAGGCAGCAGUGAGGAAUAUUGGACAAUGGGGGAAACCCUGAUCCAGCCAUGCCGCGUGUAUGAAGAAGGCCUUAGGGUUGUAAAGUACUUUCAAUGGUGAAGAUAAUGACGGUAACCAUAGAAGAAGCUCCGGCUAAAUUCGUGCCAGCAGCCGCGGUAAUACGAAUGGAGCAAGCGUUGUUCGGAAUCACUGGGCUUAAAGCGUAUGUAGGCGGACUGUAAAGUCAGGAGUGAAAUCCCGAGGCUCAACCUCGGAACUGCUCUUGAAACUCACAGUCUAGAAUCCUGGAGAGGUUGAGAGAAUUCCUAGUGUAGAGGUGAAAUUCGCAGAUAUUAGGAGGAAUACCAGUGGCGUAGGCGCCCAACUGGACAGGUAUUGACGCUCAGAUACGAAAGCGUGGGGAGCAAACAGGAUUAGAUACCCUGGUAGUCCACGCCGUAAACGAUGUGUGCUAGUUGUCGGGUGUUCAGCAUUCGGUGACGGAGCGAAAGUUUUAAGCACACCGCCUGGGGAGUACGGCCGCAAGGUUAAAACUCAAAGGAAUUGACGGGGACCCGCACAAGCGGUGGAGCAUGUUGUUUAAUUCGAAGCAACGCGAAGAACCUUACCUACACUUAACUAUCCUCCUGGGAAUUACAGAGAUGUUUUUUCUUCGGUUCGGCCGGGGAGUGAAUAGGUGCUGCAUGGCUGUCGUCAGCUCGUGUCGUGAGAUGUUGGGUUAAGUCCCGCAACGAGCGCAACCCUUAUCGUCUGUUGCCAUCAUUUAGUUGGGCACUCUGGCGAGACUGCCGGUGACAAGCCGGAGGAAGGUGGGGACGACGUCAAGUCAUCAUGCCCCUUACGUGUAGGGCUACAAACGUGCUACAAUGGCUACUACAAUGGGCAGCUACGUCGCGAGGCGAUGCUAAUCUCAAAAAGUAGUCUCAGUUCGGAUUGUUCUCUGCAACUCGAGAGCAUGAAGUUGGAAUCGCUAGUAAUCGUGGAUCAGCAUGCCACGGUGAAUACGUUCCCGGGUCUUGUACACACCGCCCGUCAAGUCAUGGGAGUUGGUUCUACCCGAAGGUCGUGUGCUAACUACGGAGGCAGCGAACCACGGUAGGAUUAGCGACUGGGACUAAGUCGCAACAAGGUA
rnacentral:rRNA from 1 species